AUUAUUAUCGUAAUCAUAGUAAAUCAGCCAGGACACAUCAGCAAUUAUUGUUCUAAAUGAACAGAGAAGGCCAGUAGUUCAAUAAAAA
rnacentral:lncRNA from 1 species